UGGGUUUACUUUCUUAAACAUAAACCCUCGUGCCUACGUGGAGAAGAUUGGAGUAGAGAAGGCUUCCUUCUGGGCUUUUUGAUUUGAGUGUCAGGGCUUUUCAACGAUUAGAAAGCUCUCUAUGACGGCGGCUAAGUCGAGGAGUAGGCACACAAGAGUGCUUUUUUUGGGGGCUCAACCUGUAUAGGUACUGUGUAAGGUUAGCUCUAUUGGGCGCCGCACUUACUUAUUGUAAAACAUGCGCCAGAAUGCCCAGACAUGAAAACUAUAUAUGAUAAUAUGGUUUUUAACAAACUUGUCUCUCUUUAUAUUCUAAGAAUUGUCCGCCC
rnacentral:lncRNA from 1 species